rnacentral:precursor_RNA from 12 species
GUGGUCAUCUGCUUUUGUUUGCACACUUCCAGGGAUGGGGAGCUCAGUCAGUGUGUUCCUCCAUUCACUCAAUGUGUUCCCCCUCUCAGGAGUUGUUGCAUUCUAAGCCUCAUGGGAAAG